AGGAUCUUGAACAAGCAUACCACUGCAGUUACAAAUCUCAGUCAUUAAUAAACAAGCUUCUUAAGAACACUGCAUGCAUGAAAAAAAAGGUCAACAUGAUAAGAUUAUCGAGUCAAAUAAAUAAAUUAGACGAUAGAAUAUGGAUAAGAAAAGAUUUCCACCCAGUCAGGUAAAUGUGACAACAAAUUGCAUGAAUAUCAGGUGCUGCAAUUGAACUCAAUAUUUUCACAUUUGUGACUCAGCAAAUUGAAGUAACCAAUGUUACUUCGAAAAGCACUGUUACAUAGACCAUCUGUAAUAAUAUGUUUCCACCCAUAAUCUAUCACCGCCUUCUAAUUGAUGCUUCACAACUUAUGAAAUUCAUGCACCGAAUCAGAGCCAUAAAAGCACAAAGUAUAAUCAUCUUAUCUUUCAGAGUAGGAAACAACUGCAUUUUACAGACAAAUUUAUUUUUAGCCAAUAACUAAUACAACAACUAUAAUGAAAUUAAAUAUCAUCCACGAAUUCCUUGUCUCCAUAAAAUUUAUAAAGGCAAGCUUGCCUUUUCAUUAAAAUGCCUAAAACGAGAACAUGCCCUAAAAUAUGAGACAAAAUCAAUUUCCAUAUAUAAAAUAUAAGGAAUUCUUCAUCUAAAGCUUAAUAAUUACAAGAAUGAACAUAAAGCUAACAAUGCACUACACAACAGCUAAUAAGCUCAGUCCCUUUUCCUUAACCUCACAGCGUCUUUACAUAAUACCAUUUAGGUCCCAUUCCAAACUGUUUCUAGAUCAUUUAUAGAUCAAUGCAUAUAUAGUCCCUUAUCUCCAAGUAACCUGCACCAUGAGAGGUUAUCCUACCCUAAUCUACAUUUCCUAAUCCUUCGAAGGCGCAGAGCUUCCAUUUUGCUUCACUAUUAGAGAUAAAAUGAAUACACCCAACCAACGCCAUGCCACAUAAUCCAGACCUACCCAAUAACUCAUACUCAAAGCAGCUCUCCACCUCCCCAAAUGCUAGUUCCUCCAGCCUGCUAAGCAACCUUCAACAGCCCAUGCCGACACUAGCGUGCCUAGGAAUGUUGACCCACAAUUUCAAAAUUAAGCUCAACUUCAAGUUGGUUAAAAUAACCAUUUAUUUCCUUUCCAAAACUAUUCUCUAUGAAACUUAAAGGUAAUAAACAUCAAUAACCCCAAAUUUCAUAGACAUCAAACCAUUCAAAGGUCAAGAAAAUCGAUCGUAUCGUGCCUGGUAAUCUCUUGCCUGUAUCUUUCCCUACCUUUCCCCUCAAUACUCUAGCCCAAACCAAACAACAAAUCAUAAAUUAAAUCGCAAAACACACGAAACAAAUUAUGAAAUUAGAGCUAUGUAAACAAAAGAGCGGAUACAUAAAUGAAAAGGGAAUUUAGAGUAUAAAAAGAAGAAGUAGGGACCUCUUCUCGCCACCGGUGUAGUAC
rnacentral:misc_RNA from 1 species